rnacentral:misc_RNA from 1 species
GAGAUGCGAUAAGUGAUGUGAAUUGCAGAAUUCAGUGACUCAUCGAAUCUUUGAACGCACAUUGCGCCCUCCAGCACUCUGGCGGGCCUGCAUGUUCGAUCGUCAUUUCAACCAUCAAGCCCCGGGCUUGUGUUGGGGACCUGCGGCUGCCCGCAGGCCCUGAAAAACAGUGGCGGGCUCGCUGUCACCCCGAGCGUAGUAGUAUUAUCUCGCUUAGGGCGUGCUGCGGGUUCCGGCCGUUAAACCCUCCCAUACCCCAAGGUUCACCUCGGAUUAGGUAGGAAUACCCGCUCACCUUAA